AUGGGGGGGAGCGUUCUUCAGGUGAAAACAUUUCCCAUCGUUGUGUGGGGAAAGGGAAGUUGCGAAUGUUCAAAUGAUAACUCCUAUGAAGCCCCAGGAUUGUAUUUAAAAAUACCUUUUGGUGGACAGUGCCUCUUUUUGAUCUUUGCCUGUUGGCUUGGUUGUUCCCAUCCUCUCUCAUUUUAGCCUAGUUCUCCUUUUAUCCAGGUUGUGUGCAUUUUUGUUUGUUUGUCUGCUUUUUCUUUUGAACUAUUGCUUAUCAGAAUGGUGAUGUUAUCUCAAAAUCCCGAAACCAAGGGGCUAGCCAGUGCACAGGACUUGAGGUAGAUGCAGGAUUUGGAUUGAUGUAGGUUACAGGUUAAGUGCUUCCAGAAAUAUACUUUAUUGAGGCAUAACAGAGCUCUAAAGAAGUCGUGUUUGUUUAUAACAUUUGGAGAAGUCACCUCUCAUAGGUCUCUGUUCUUGAGAGAGAAAUUCAUCGUUUCAUGCAAAUAACAUUGAUGGGCAUACAUCAUAAUCUGGUGAUUGGCUUCUAUCAGUGAAUAUAUAAGGUUUCAAUCACGGUAUCUUAUAAAGAGCAUAAUCUUAUCAAUUUCUCCUUCUUUCUGAGAGCAUAUUGAAAAAAAUGUUUCUGAUGUGCUAUGAAACAUUUCUUUGAAUCCAUGUUUUUGACCAAGGAAGUGGCUGAGAUGUUAAACCAGGAGGUGGUGACAUGGCUUGUAUGACUCCCCACUCACUCCCUCAAAAGGAAAAUGAAAUUGGGAAAUUAAGGUGAACUUGAACUCCUCUGGUCAUGAGGAGCACUCACUUUGAUUUCCUAUCUCAGGAUAUUUUUCAGUUUCAUACUGCUGCUGAGGAGGAAAGAACCAGCUGCUGACACUGUAGCUGGUCCCCAGAUGUUUGUGUGUGUGUAUGUACAACUUCACACCCUAUGUGUUGUGUUCAAUGUAAUGUCAAUCUAUGAACUGACUCAAAUAACCAUUUCGGUAUCAAGAAGAAAGUGAUAAUGGCAAACAAACAAAAACAAACAAACAAAAACACCCGACCACCUCUUUCUCUCAAAGUGCUUGCUAUGACUUUCGUAGCUGGGACAAACCAUAUCAGCAUUCAGGAACAAGGUGUCCGUGAAAGAGAUGGUGUGUUGAUCUCAUAAGAAAUGUACAACCAAUAAAAG
rnacentral:lncRNA from 1 species